rnacentral:rRNA from 1 species
UACGUAGGCAGCGAGCGUUGUUCGGAGUUACUGGGCGUAAAGGGUGUGUAGGCGGUUCUUUAAGUUUGGUGUGAAAUCUCCCGGCUCAACCGGGAGGGUGCGCCGAAUACUGAGGGACUAGAGUACGGGAGAGGAAAGUGGAAUUCCUGGUGUAGCGGUGAAAUGCGUAGAUAUCAGGAAGAACACCAAUGGCGAAAGCAGCUCUCUGGGACGGUACUGACGCUGAGACGCGAAAGCGUGGGGGAGCGAACAGG